rnacentral:rRNA from 1 species
UACGGAGGGUGCAAGCGUUAUCCGGAUUCACUGGGCUUAAAGGGUGCGUAGGAGGGAUGGGAAGUCCGUGGUGAAAUCUCCGAGCUUAACUCGGAAACUGCCGUGGAUACUCUCUGUCUUGAAUCCCGUGGAGAUGAGCGGAAUAUGUCAUGUAGCGGUGAAAUGCUUAGAUAUGACAUAGAACACCAAUUGCGAAGGCAGCUCGUUACACGAAGAUUGACUCUGAGGCACGAAAGCGUGGGGAUCAAACAGG